GACUCUUAGCGGUGGAUCACUUGGCUCGUGCGUUGAUGAAGAACGCAGCUAGCUGCAAGAAUUAAUGUGAAUUGCAGGAUAGAUUAAUCAUGGACACUUCGAACCCACUUGCGGCCCCAGGUUCCUCCCUGGACUACACCUGUCUGAGAGUCA
ensembl:rRNA LOC120101142 5.8S ribosomal RNA